AACAUUUCACAACACGAGCUGACGACAGCCAUGCAGCACCUGUCUCACGGUUCCCGAAGGCACUAAGGCAUCUCUGCCAAAUUCCGUGGAUGUCAAGGCCAGGUAAGGUUCUUCGCGUUGCAUCGAAUUAAACCACAUGCUCCACCGCUUGUGCGGGCCCCCGUCAAUCCAUUUGAGUUUUAACCUUGCGGCCGUACUCCCCAGGCGGUCAACUUAAUGCGUUAGCUGCGCCACUAAGAGCUCAAGGCUCCCAACGGCUAGUUGACAUCGUUUACGGCGUGGACUACCAGGGUAUCUAAUCCUGUUUGCUCCCCACGCUUUCGCACCUCAGUGUCAGUAUCAGUCCAGGUGGUCGCCUUCGCCACUGGUGUUCCUUCCUAUAUCUACGCAUUUCACCGCUACACAGGAAAUUCCACCACCCUCUACCAUACUCUAGUCAGUCAGUUUUGAAUGCAGUUCCCAGGUUGAGCCCGGGGAUUUCACAUCCAACUUAACAAACCACCUACGCGCGCUUUACGCCCAGUAAUUCCGAUUAACGCUUGCACCCUCUGUAUUACCGCGGCUGCUGGCACAGAGUUAGCCGGUGCUUAUUCUGUCGGUAACGUCAAAACAAUCACGUAUUAGGUAACUGCCCUUCCUCCCAACUUAAAGUGCUUUACAAUCCGAAGACCUUCUUCACACACGCGGCAUGGCUGGAUCAGGCUUUCGCCCAUUGUCCAAUAUUCCCCACUGCUGCCUCCCGUAGGAGUCUGGACCGUGUCUCAGUUCCAGUGUGACUGAUCAUCCUCUCAGACCAGUUACGGAUCGUCGCCUUGGUGAGCCAUUACCUCACCAACUAGCUAAUCCGACCUAGGCUCAUCUGAUAGCGCAAGGCCCGAAGGUCCCCUGCUUUCUCCCGUAGGACGUAUGCGGUAUUAGCGUUCGUUUCCGAACGUUAUCCCCCACUACCAGGCAGAUUCCUAGGCAUUACUCACCCGUCCGCCGCUCUCAAGAGAAGCAAGCUUCUCUCUACCGCUC
rnacentral:rRNA from 1 species